rnacentral:rRNA from 1 species
GACGUAGGGUGCGAGCGUUGUCCGGAUUUAUUGGGCGUAAAGAGCUCGUAGGCGGCUCGUCGCGUCGACCGUGAAACCCGCAGCUUAACUGUGGGCUUGCGGUUGAUACGGCGGCUAGAGUGCGGAAGGGCAAUCGGAAUUCUUGGUGUAGCGGUGAAAUGCGUAGAUAUCAAGAGGAACACCUGAGGUGAAGACGGGUGCUGGGCCGACACUGACGCUGAGUGCGCGAAGCCAGGGAGCAAACGGG